AAGCCCCGGGGUGUAACAUGUGUAGUUGCAAACUACAAGAAGCAGAUAAUUCCUGCCGGGGCUUC
rnacentral:tRNA from 1 species